UACGUAGGGGGCAAGCGUUGUCCGGAUUUAUUGGGCGUAAAGAGCGUGUAGGCGGCCAUACAGGUCAGCUGUGAAAACUCGAGGCUCAACCUCGAGACGUCGGUUGAAACCGUAUGGCUAGAGUCCGGAAGAGGAGAGUGGAAUUCCUGGUGUAGCGGUGAAAUGCGCAGAUAUCAGGAAGAACACCCGUGGCGAAGGCGGCUCUCUGGGACGGUACUGACGCUGAGACGCGAAAGCCGUGG
rnacentral:rRNA from 1 species